rnacentral:rRNA from 1 species
CGGUAAUACGGAGGGUGCAAGCGUUACUCGGAAUCACUGGGCGUAAAGGAUGCGUAGGCUGGAAAUCAAGUCAAGAGUGAAAUCCCACGGCUUAACCGUGGAACUGCUUUUGAAACUGAUUUUCUAGAAUAUGGGAGAGGCAGAUGGAAUUGGUGGUGUAGGGGUAAAAUCCGUAGAGAUCACCAGGAAUACCCAUUGCGAAGGCGAUCUGCUGGAACAUUAUUGACGCUGAGGCAUGAAAGCGUGGGGAGCAAACAGGAUUAGAUACCCUGGUAGUCCACGCCCUAAACGAUGUACACUAGUUGUUGCGAUGCUAGUCAUUGCAGUAAUACAGUUAACACAUUAAGUGUACCGCCUGGGGAGUACGGUCGCAAGAUUAAAACUCAAAGGAAUAGACGGGGACCCGCACAAGCGGUGGAGCAUGUGGUUUAAUUCGAAGAUACGCGAAGAACCUUACCUAGACUUGAAAUCCUUGGAAUCUUAUAGAAAUAUAAGAGUGCUAGUUUACUAGAACCAAGUGACAGGUGCUGCACGGCUGUCGUCAGCUCGUGUCGUGAGAUGUUGGGUUAAGUCCCGCAACGAGCGCAACCCUCGUCCUUAGUUGCUAACAGUUUGGCUGAGCACUCUAAGGAGACUGCCUUCGUAAGGAGGAGGAAGGUGAGGACGACGUCAAGUCAUCAUGGCCCUUAUGUCUAGGGCUACACACGUGCUACAAUGGCUAGGACAAAGAGUCGCAAUACCGCGAGGUGGAGCAAAUCUUUAAACCUAGUCUCAGUUCGGAUUGGAGUCUGCAACUCGACUCCAUGAAGCUGGAAUCGCUAGUAAUCGUAGAUCAGCAAUGCUACGGUGAAUACGUUCUCGGG